CUAGAGUCAGACCUCACCCCUGCAGGAGCUCCACAAGCCACUGAGAGGAGCUUACCCAUCAGCGGGCAAGGACAGAGCAGUCACCCAGGGCAUAGGAAGACUGAGUGUCCACAGCCAGAGCUUUGUUUUUUAAUAACAAAACAUCAAAACAGAGUGUAAACGUAGGUAGUUGACCGAGAAAAGAUAAUUUCCAACAUUUCCGAUGGAAAAUUUAAGACACACUAAGAAGUCCAAAGAACAAUUAAGUUCCUGUCUUCAGGCCAGGGAUGGGUGGAGUCUUCCUCCCUCCUAUUUUUGUGUGGCCUAGAAGCUAAGAAUCACCGUUAAAUGGCUUUUAAACGGCUUAAGAAAAAAUAUCACAGAAGAAUAAUAUUCUGUGACAUGUGAAAUUAUAUAAAAUACAAAUUGGAGUGUCUGUAGGUAAAAUUUUAUUGGAAAAUGCCAGGCUUGUUUGUUUCCUGAUCGUUUGUGGCUCCUUUCAUGACUCCUUGGCAGAGAGGCCUUGUUGGAAAAGAAACUAUGUGGUCGGUCUACAGGCUGGGGAAGUGGCUCAGUGGGCGGUGACACUUGCUGUGUGAGCAGGAGAACCUGAGUUUGAAUGCCUCAUCAGCAUUGGGAGCCGGGUGUGGACUGUUUGCCCAUUGUUCAAUGUCAGCCUAGCUCCAGGUUCAAUGUGAAAGACCUGCCUCAGGUAGAGAGGGACACCAGGCAGAGAGGGACUGAUCAGGACAUGCAAAGUCCUCCUCUGGCCUCUGCCCUCACUCGCAGGUACACACAUGCUUACAUAUCUGCACACACACACACACACACACACACACACACACUUAUCAAAAAACAAAAAAAGAAAAGAAAAGAAAAGAAAGAAAAGAAAAGAAAAGAAAGAAAAGAAAAGAAAAGAAAAGAAAAGAAAAGAAAAGAAAAGAAAAGAAGAGAAGAGAAAAGAAACCAUGCAGCCUUCCAAAUCUAGAUAGCAUUCCCCAUCUGGUCCUUUAAAAAUGCUGCUGACCCCUGACUUAGAAGUUGCCAUUAACAUUGCACAACAUUUGACUUAUCACAUGUACAGGUUGUGUCCAGAUAGGGAAAGAAAUAUGAACCAGAAAGAAGCAGGAAGGAAAAGACCUAGGAAGAGUCUAUGGGGGGACUGCGGGGAAAAGGACCAGCCAGUUUGGCCUUUCAUCUGAGCUUGGAGUUGUCUGACAGUAGCUCCUGGAAGCAACUUCAAAACUCUUCCACAAAAGGAAAUGUGAUUGCAAACAGGUGGCUCAAAAUUACAUAAUAUGCUCUCCUGUUUCUGAGUAACAUUGAAAAAUAGGAGAAGAAGAGCAGCCGGUUUGGAGUGAUGGAAAAAACUGAGGAGAACGAGGAAGCCUGUGACUCGCACAAGCCUGGCAAGGGAGCAGGUUACAGCAAGUCAGAAUGGCUUGAGUGUGUGCGCCCUAACCUGACAUUAACACAGGAAGAUACUGCAUCAGCUGUUCUUCCCAAUGUUGUAGACAAAGGAGGGAAAGCCCGUCAUUUGAGGAUACGUUGUAGCCGAGAAGUCACUGUGGCAAGCCUGUGCAGCAAGUAGGUCUCUGAGCAUCCUCAGCAGUGAAGCACGGAGACACAGAGACGGCUGGUGCUCAGCUCCAGGUCUUUUUCUGAUUCAAUCCAGGACCCCCUACCUAGCCCAUGAAUGUCAUCCACAUUUAAUGAGUCUUCUGACCUCACUUAAUCCAGUCUAGAAACUUGUGCCUUGAGCUUUAUCUUCUGGAUCCUGUUAAGAUUGCAGGGGAUAUGAACCACCACAGACACACCUAUUGAAGUGUGAGAAGCAUCUUUUAUGUGCUCCACCCUGCACUGGCCACUCUACUCAUUCAUUCUGCCACCUUCACACAGGAGCUUCAGGGAUCGGACUUUAGGAACUUUUGGGCAGGAGGAUCUUGAUGGGCCAUUUAUGAUAAGUCCGCUCGCCUCAUGAGUGACUGGCUUAAAGGUGAUUUCACAACUGGAUAUGGUUGGUGACUCUUGAUGGCUCUUCUUCUGGGAAAGAUUUCUUAGGGGGUUUUCUUCAGGGGUGGUGGAGUGUUUCAGAAAUCCAUGUGGGUCAUGGCUGUAUAGCGCUGGAAAUGUACUAAACGUCACUUUGAAAGGUUCAUUUUGUAUUUUAAAAUCCCGGCUGACCUGUAGUUUUCAAGUCCAAGACCAUGGAUGAAGACAGAGAGGCAUCUGGGUCUGUGAAAGUGACAUCUGGUUAGAUAAUAGAUUGGCUCUGUGAGCACGUGAGCUCAAUGGCAGCUACCCAUGCUUGUCCAUCUGCCCUUUAGGAGGUGUUUCAGAGCUUGGGAUUAACAUCGGUCUCCUUGUGGGAUUCUCACUGCAGAAGAAUUCUCACUCACCCACCUCAUACAUGGUGGGUAUGAGGGGGAGGUUCACAUUUUAGAGACGUGGAUCAAGAGCAGAAGAAUCAGAACGAUCCUCCUCCCACUACUGCAAAAAGCCCAAGGAUUAAUAGAGUGAAUGUCACCUGUCGGUCUCUGUGCAUAGUAUUCAGUUACUGCUGGAGUACUGGAGGGGAUUUUUUAUGUUGCUGCGCUUUGAGACAGUGCCUCAUGUAUCCCAGAGUAGCCUCAAACUCCAACUUCUGAUCAUCCUACCUCCAGCCCUGGGAUGCUGGGGUUACAUGCAUGUGCCGCCAUGCCCCCUUUAGUAGUGCUAGGAACUGAACCCAGUGCUUCAUUCAUGCUAAGCAAACAUGCCACCAACUGAACUACAUCCCUAGCUGGGGUAGGGUACACAAUGCUUGUAAUUAUAAUAACACUCAGCAAUAUAUUAGACCCCUACUGCAUGUCAAACAAGGCUUAAGCACUGUACACUAAUUGUAUUAUUGACUUGUUAAUACUCUCAGCCCAGAGAAGUGAAGGAGCCCUACUGAAGUGAUAUGUGGAG
rnacentral:lncRNA from 1 species